CCCCUGCUGGAAUCUUCCCCUCUCCCCCCAGGUAUUGUAUCAAGAGCCCGAGGGUGAAGAUGUCGCUGAGACUACUAUUAUCAUUGCUAUUUACGAGGGGGACAAAUUAUACUGGGGGUAGGCUGCCCCUUGCAUCCCCGUUAGGGGGGUAGCAAAUGGACCUUCAAAUAAGUUUUGGGGCAGAACAGAGCGCAGCAAUCAAAGGCAAUAGAUAUUCCUCUUCCAUCAAAUUUGCAUAGAUGAAGCCAUGCUUAAAGCACUGAUAUAACAUAAACAGAACGAAGCAAACGCAUUUAAAUCCACUAUCAGAAUACAAAGUUAAAUCUCACCACAUUUAAGCAUCAAAUAAAUACUCUGCUGCAAGUCGCAACUACUAUUUGAUUAAUAGAAUAUAUAGUUGGUAUCAUUGAGUGUUAUGUUCAACGGGUUUUAAGUAUACCAAGAACACAGCAGGUUGAGAUUUGUUUAUGGAAUGUCAUUAAACACUCAAAAGAACUUUAAAGAAAAGAGGAAGAGAUC
rnacentral:sRNA from 1 species